UUUUGGCAGUGAUGACUUAUACACAGCUUUAUGCCAGUUCUGCUUCAGAAAAUUCUUGAUAGAGAGAGCUGAAAUAUAUCUGAGCCUAGU